CCCCCCUCCGACUGUCACUGACAGUGUUAAAAAUCCUUCUGUACUUUUUCACCUCUCCUCUCUAGGUGAUGUCAUUGAAGAGACAAGGCCUACUAUGGCGGGGUCCAGCUCAUCAUUGGGGACCUAAUGCACGCGAUUGAAUUAAUGCUUUCCUACAGGCAUUUACUUGGUCGGUGCCGCAGAAGCACCUCUAGUGGAUUUUAAUACAACAGCCAGCA